GAUGAACGCUGGCGGCGUGCCUAAUACAUGCAAGUCGAGCGAACAGAUGAGGAGCUUGCUCCUCUGACGUUAGCGGCGGACGGGCGAGUAACACGUGGAUAACCUACCUAUAAGACUGGGAUAACUUCGGGAAACCGGAGCUAAUACCGGAUAAUAUAUUGAACCGCAUGGUUCAAUAGUGAAAGACGGUUUUGCUGUCACUUAUAGAUGGAUCCGCGCCGCAUUAGCUAGUUGGUAAGGUAACGGCUUACCAAGGCAACGAUGCGUAGCCGACCUGAGAGGGUGAUCGGCCACACUGGAACUGAGACACGGUCCAGACUCCUACGGGAGGCAGCAGUAGGGAAUCUUCCGCAAUGGGCGAAAGCCUGACAGAGCAACGCCGCGUGAGUGAUGAAGGUCUUCGGAUCGUAAAACUCUGUUAUUAGGGAAGAACAAAUGUGUAAGUAACUAUGCACGUCUUGACGGUACCUAAUCAGAAAGCCACGGCUAACUACGUG
rnacentral:rRNA from 1 species